GAUGAACGCUAGCGGCAGGCUUAACACAUGCAAGUCGAGGGGUAUAGUUCUUCGGAACUAGAGACCGGCGCACGGGUGCGUAACGCGUAUGCAAUCUACCUUUUUACAGAGGGAUAGCCCAGAGAAAUUUGGAUUAAUACCUCAUAGUAUAUAGCCCUGGCAUCAGGAUUAUAUUAAAGUCACAACGGUAAAAGAUGAGC
rnacentral:rRNA from 1 species